rnacentral:lncRNA from 1 species
UUAAAGUUUAACAAAAGCGUGGUGGUUCGGCUUAGAGAUUUCUAGGUAAGGAAGGUAAAAAAUCAUCCUUUUGUUUGAAUGCAUGCUCUUUGAACUGAUAAUAAUGUGAGAUUUUGCUUGUGGUAGCAAGAAUCUUCAAGGAUUCAAGAACCUGAUGCAUGCAUGUAGGUGGAUCUUGGAAUGCAUGGUGAUUUUGAGCUAGAUAAGCAAUGGGUAAGUGUUUUAGUCUUGAAAUCACAAGUAAAAAGGAAAAAUGAGAUGUAUAUUGAUUGUUUAUGUUUGUGGUAGCAAUGGUGGCCGAAGAUAUGAGGAAGUUGUGAAUCAUAUGUAGAAUUCAAGCAAAAACCAAAAGGUAAGCAUGCAAUGUGACUACAUUGUGUUGUGUUGGCUUUGAUUGGUUGAAAGUAUGUGGGUUGUGUUUUAAAUGAUUGUGAACAAUGUUGAUGAAAACUAUGAAAUUGGGUUAAGGAUUCAUUGAUUGAUGUGCUGCCCAUAUAUCAAUAUAAUUAAGUGUAUUGGGCUUGAAUGGUUGCUAGGAAAUGUAUAAGUAGGGAAAGUGUGCUGUGGUGGCGCACCGAAGGAGGUAAAGGGUGACCAGCAAGUAGAAUUAGCUAGAUACGCAUCCGAGUCAUAGUGACAUAGUGUUCUGCUAUUGUAAAAAGAGUAGGAGGUGUCUAUUUCAAAAUGAUUCUGUAUUAUAUAUAGAAUAAUAUUUUGUAUACUACUAGUCGUGAUAGAUUAUAAACUGCUAUUGUGCAAAGCAUGAGCUGAUAGAAAUGCUGGGCAAUUAUGGAUGACAUAAUGUUUGAAAUUGUUUUGACUAUAUAUAUAUAUAUAUAUAUGUUAUAUACAUAAAGGGUUUUAAAAAUUGGGAAACAAGCUUUUUAACACGGUUUAUGUCAAAAUGUGCAUUAUUGACUGUGUGAUAUGCAUUUAUGAAUAGAUUUCAUAUUCACCAUGCUGAUUUGACAUCUAAACCUCAUGCAAAGGUUUUAUAUUGCAAAGUUUUACAAAAACGGGAUUUUAGCAUGUUACCAUGGUUGGCAUUUUGGAAAAUGGUUAGAAAUGAGCUUUCGAGAACCCAACUUGAUUUUUAAAUGGUUUUGUCAAAUCAGGAGAUUCGAAAGUAGGCCAAAUGUCACAUUGGGAUAGUGUGACCCUUGUGCACAAGUGAGCUCUAGCUAGAGAAUCUUUCGAUCAUUGACGAGCUAUUAGAUGUGGCAAAGGGGCACAAUCUGUGACUGUGCGUGGCAAGGCCACUGGUUGUUAUAUGUGGCUAGGCCAUAAGUUGAUAUACAAGGUUGCGACUACCUGAUUUCUUCGAUGUCAGCCAACAUCGUUUAGACUAUCAUGGCUGUGGGAAUCCAGUGAAGCAGUGCUCCCAGAUUGUUAUUAUGUGGAAGUGGGUCCACGGGUUGAUAUUUGCGAUUACUUACUCGAGAGCGGCAUCUCUUUGGGUUUUCAAACAUGUAUUUUUUUUUCAUAUGGUGAGAAAUACGUGACUUUUUGCUGCUCCUUUAUUUAUACGAUGGAUUUGUGUUUAAUAUCUUGUGGAUGAGAUCAUUUAUAAAUUUGCGUAUUAACAUCAAUAUUGCUCGAUUUUAUGGGAGCAUGCAUGUUUAUGUUGAAUUGUUU